AAUACAUUGCCGGCGACCGGCGAGUGGGUGCGUAACGCGUAUGCAACCUACUUAUACGAGGGAAUUACCUUACGAAAGGGAGACUAACACCCAUAGUAUGAUUUAGGCAUCUUAGAUUAAUUAAAUAUUUAUAGGUAUAAGAGUGGGCAUGCGUAUGAUUAGCUAGUUGGUAAGGUAACGGCUUACCAAGGCGACGAUCAUUAGGGGUUCUGAGAGGAAGGUCCCCCACACUGGUACUGAGACACGGACCAGACUCCUACGGGAGGCAGCAGUGAGGAAUAUUGGUCAAUGGGCGCAAGCCUGAACCGGCCAUGCCGCGUGCAGGAAAGACGGCCUUAUGGGUUGUAAACUGCUUUUACAUAAGACUAACCGUAUAUUUGCGAAUAUACCUGAAUGUAUUAUGAGAAUAAGGAUCGGCUAACUCCGUGCCAGCAGCCGC
rnacentral:rRNA from 1 species